GCAAGGGAGGUGCUGCCUGAAGUUUUUUCCCUCAUUUUUGUGGGAAUUUCACUCGGCUAACACAAGUGUUGUGAAGGUUUGCUACUUCAUCCUCGUGUUAUGCUUUGAUUUAUGCUUUGGAGAUGGAAAGAUUAUUUGCUAGAAUGUGAUGAUGAAGUAGAAAAUGGAGAGGUAUUUUGAGCUAGAAUGUGAGGGAGAUUGAU
rnacentral:lncRNA from 1 species